rnacentral:misc_RNA from 1 species
UACAGAGGGUGCAAGCGUUGAUCGGAAUUACUGGGCGUAAAGCGCGCGUAGGUGGUUUGUUGAGUCGGAUGUGAAAGCCCCGGGCUCAACCUGGGAACUGCAGCCAAAACUGGCAAGCUAGAGUACGGUAGAGGGUGGUGGAAUUUCCUGUGUAGCGGUGGAAUGCGUGGAUAUAGGGAGGAACACCAGUGGCGAAGGCGACCACCUGGACUGAUACUGACACUGAGGUGCGAAAGCAUGGGGAGCAAACAGG